rnacentral:rRNA from 1 species
UCCGUAGGUGGAUCAAUCAGUCAGAGGUGAAAUCCUGCAGCUUAACUGUAGAACUGCCUUUGAUACUGUUGAUCUUGAGUCAUUAUGAAGUGGUUAGAAUGUGUAGUGUAGCGGUGAAAUGCAUAGAUAUUACACAGAAUACCGAUUGCGAAGGCAGAUCACUAAUAAUGUACUGACACUGAGGGACGAAAGCGUGGGGAGCAAACAGGAUUAGAUACCCUGGUAGUCC